CAGAUUGCUCUGGAUUAAUAAAAUGAACAUGCGUAUCAAUACCACCAGCUGUGAUAAUACUACCUUCUGCUGCAAUAAUUUCAGUAGAGGCUCCGAUAAUAAUAUCCACAUUGUUCAUAAUAUCUGGGUUGCCAGCUUUACCGAUUUUCAUAAUAUAACCAUUUUUCACACCAAUAUCGGCUUUAAUGACUUUAUCAUGGUCGAUAAUGACAGCAUUCGUAAUCACUAAGUCAGCCACUUUUUUGUUAUCACGUGUUGCAUUCGGAUUUUGUCCCAUGCCGUCACGG
rnacentral:sRNA from 1 species